CCACGGUUGAGCAGAUCUCUGGGGAUGCUUCCAUAUCCGAUCCAUAGCGAAGUAAGGCUUGUUGCUCAGGGGCUCCAGGAAUGAAGGAGAAACUUCACCCUGUUCUGGCUUCAUCUGCCUUGCCGCCCCUGGAACUGCACCUAAAUAACCUGAUGGAGUGCUUCAGACUUGUAGUUUUAGCAGAAUUCAGCCAAUCAAGCUUUGGCAAAUGGUUGGAGGUCAGAGCCAUGGAUCAUUGACACUUAUUUCAACCGCAACCCAGGAAGAAAUCAUUCCUCUGCCAGUUUCUACUCUACUGAAGCUCUUCUCAGCCAAUCAGGAUGUUCAGAAGGGGAACAAAGCAGUCUGGACACAUCAGCUGCUGUGCAUGUGUGAAAUGAAGCUGAUUGGGCUGAGGCCUGCAUGCCUGCCCCGUUUUAUCUUUGGAACACAUUCCUCAUCCUAGGAAGAAUUAAUGUCUGCUAUCAAGGGCUUACUGUCAGCAUCUCUGUUGUCCCUUUGAAUGUACUGUUGACUGGGAUCAGCCUGCAAGAUUGAUCUCAAGCAAGUGAAAUUGGGUUGAAAAUAAUUCUAAUCUUAGCCAUGAAGGAUGGCCGUGUUGAGGCUGGAUGCAGAUUUUCCUGGGGGAAUGAAGGUUUGUGAAUCAUGCAGGGGGCUGUUACAUCACUAUCCACUGUAAAACCGCAUCAGUCAUGUGUGUCCUAAAUCAGAAAGAAUGGCUCAGGACAGAGAUGAAAGGUAACAUGAGGUCCGAGGAGAAGGCUCAGUGGGCCAAGUGCUGCCCCGAAGGUUGAGGACCUGAGUGUGGAUAUUUGGAAACUAGAUAAAACCAGAUGCUUAGUCCCAGCACUCCUAUGGUGAGAUACUGGAGUGGAUACUGGAGAGUCUCCAGCUAGUCAGUAGCAUACAGUAGUGAACACAAGUGCCUUGUCUCAAAAGAAGUGGAAGAUGAGGACUAACAUAUGAGGUUUCCCACUGACCUACACACACACACACACACACACACACACACACACACACUUUAAAAAUGAAAUAAAAUUACAUAUCUAUCCGUUAUAAGUGUAUGU
rnacentral:lncRNA from 1 species